rnacentral:tRNA from 1 species
AUCUAUAUAGUAUAAAUAUUACAAUUAACUUCCAAUUAAAUAAUAUAAUCUCUAUUAUUAUAGAUA